CCCACCGUCAGCACCCAAAGCUGAA
rnacentral:piRNA from 1 species